rnacentral:rRNA from 2 species
UAGGUGAACCUGCGGA